rnacentral:rRNA from 1 species
AGUGUAGGCGGCUUCGUAAGUCGGAUGUGAAAGCCCUGGGCUUAACCUGGGAAUGCCAUUCGAAACUGCGCGGCUAGAGUUUGGUAGAGGAAAGUGGAAUUCCAGGUGUAGCGGUGAAAUGCGUAGAUAUCUGGAGGAACAUCAGUGGCGAAGGCGGCUUUCUGGAUCAAAACUGACGCUGAGGCUCGAAAGCGUGGGUAGCAAACAGGAUUAGAUACCCUGGUAGUCC